UAGGGAAUCUUCCACAAUGGACGCAAGUCUGAUGGAGCAACGCCGCGUGAGUGAAGAAGGUUUUCGGAUCGUAAAGCUCUGUUGUUGGUGAAGAAGGAUAGAGGCAGUAACUGGUCUUUAUUUGACGGUAAUCAACCAGAAAGUCACGGCUAACUACGUGCCAGCAGCCGCGGUAAUACGUAGGUGGCUAGCGUUGUCCGGAUUUAUUGGGCGUAAAGCGAGCGCAGGCGGAAUGAUAAGUCUGAUGUGAAAGCCAACGGCUCAACCGUGGAACUGCAUCGGAAACUGUCAUUCUUGAGUGCAGAAGAGGAGAGUGGAAUUCCAUGUGUAGCGGUGGAAUGCGUAGAUAUAUGGAAGAACACCAGUGGCGAAGGCGGCUCUCUGGUCUGCAACUGACGCUGAGGCUCGAAAGCAUGGGUAGCGAACAGG
rnacentral:rRNA from 1 species